ensembl:misc_RNA 7SK 7SK RNA
GGAUGUGAGGGCGAUCUGGCUGCGACAUCUGUCACCCCAUUGAUCGCCAGGGUUGAUUCGGCUGAUCUGGCUGGCUAGGCGGGUGUCCCCUUCCUCCCUCACCGCUCCAUGUGCGUCCCUCCCGAAGCUGCGCGCUCGGUCGAAGAGGACGACCAUCCCCGAUAGAGGAGGACCGUUCUUCGGUCAAGGGUAUACGAGUAGCUGCGCUCCCCUGCUAGAACCUCCAAACAAGCUCUCAAGGUCCAUUGUAGGAGAACGUAGGGUAGUCAAGCUUCCAAGACUCCAGACACAUCCAAAUGAGGCGCUGCAUGUGGCAGUCUGCCUUUCUUU